rnacentral:rRNA from 1 species
UACGAAGGGGGCUAGCGUUGCUCGGAAUUACUGGGCGUAAAGGGCGCGUAGGCGGACAUUUAAGUCAGGGGUGAAAUCCCAGAGCUCAACUCUGGAACUGCCUUUGAAACUGGAAAACUUGAAUCAUGGAGAGGUCAGUGGAAUUCCGAGUGUAGAGGUGAAAUUCGUAGAUAUUCGGAAGAACACCAGUGGCGAAGGCGACUGACUGGACAUGUAUUGACGCUGAGGUGCGAAAGCGUGGGGAGCAAACAGG